AGAGUUUGAUCAUGGCUCAGAACGAACGCUGGCGGCAUGCCUAACACAUGCAAGUCGAACGCCUGUAGCAAUACAGGAGUGGCGCACGGGUGAGUAACGCGUGGGAACCUGCCCUGGAGUGUGGGAUAACCGAGGGAAACCUCGGCUAAUACCGCAUACGACCUGAGGGUGAAAGAUUUAUCGCUCCAGGAGGGGCCCGCGUCGGAUUAGCUAGUUGGUGAGGUAACGGCUCACCAAGGCGAUGAUCCGUAGCUGGUCUGAGAGGAUGAUCAGCCACACUGGGACUGAGACACGGCCCAGACUCCUACGGGAGGCAGCAGUGGGGAAUAUUGGACAAUGGGGGCAACCCUGAUCCAGCAAUGCCGCGUGAGUGAUGAAGGCCUUAGGGUUGUAAAGCUCUUUCGCGCGCGACGAUGAUGACGGUAGCGCGAGAAGAAGCCCCGGCUAACUUCGUGCCAGCAGCCGCGGUAAUACGAAGGGGGCGAGCGUUGUUCGGAAUUACUGGGCGUAAAGGGCGCGCAGGCGGCCUUAGAAGUCAGAUGUGAAAGCCCCGGGCUCAACCUGGGAAUGGCAUUUGAUACUCUGAGGCUGGAGUACGGGAGAGGAGAGUGGAAUUCCCAGUGUAGAGGUGAAAUUCGUAGAUAUUGGGAAGAACACCGGUGGCGAAGGCGGCUCUCUGGACCGUAACUGACGCUGAGGCGCGAAAGCGUGGGGAGCAAACAGGAUUAGAUACCCUAGUAGUCC
rnacentral:rRNA from 1 species